AUUGGGCAAUGGGCGAANCCUGNCCCACGACACCGCGUGGGGGAAGAAGGCCCUCGGGUUGUAAACCCCUUUUAUUAGGGAAGAAUAAUGACGGUACCUGAUGAAUAAGCUUCGGCUAACUACGUGCCAGCAGCCGCGGUAAUACGUAGGAAGCAAGCGUUAUCCGGAUUUAUUGGGCGUAAAGCGGGCGUAGGUGGUCCUUCAAGUCUGGUGUGAAAUCUCCCGGCUUAACUGGGAGGGUGCAUUAGAAACUGCUGGACUAGAGUGCAUCAGAGGAAGAUGGAAUUCCCGGUGUAGUGGUGAAAUGCGUAGAUAUCGGGAGGAACACUAGUGGCGAAGGCGGUCUUCUGGGAUGUAACUGACACUGAGGUCCGAAGGCGUGGGUAGCAAACAGGAUUAGAUACCCUGGUAGUCCACGCAGUAAACGAUGGAUACUAGGUAUGGGGAGUAUCGACCCUCUCCGUGCCGAAGCUAACGCUUUAAGUAUCCCGCCUGGGGAGUACGGUCGCAAGACUAAAACUCAAAGAAAUUGACGGA
rnacentral:rRNA from 1 species